rnacentral:rRNA from 1 species
GGUGAGCGACAGUGGAGCAGGAGCGGUAAGGAGGGGUGGGCAGGCGUGUGCCGGAGUUAUUGAGCGGGAAGAGCGGGUAGGGCGCCAGGGAGGUCGUGUGGGAAAACUCGAGGGCUAACCUCGGGAAGGCGGUGGAAACCGCCUGGCUAGAGUACGGAAGAGGAGAGUGGAAUUCCCGGUGUAGCGGUGAAAUGCGCAGAUAUCGGGAAGAACACCCGUGGCGAAGGCGGCUCUCUGGGACGGUACUGACGCUGAGACGCGAAAGCGUGGGGAGCGAACAGGAUUAGAACCCGUGUAGUC